GGCCGUAUGGUGUAGUGGUUAUCACGUAAAGUCGAUCCCUCCGCCGUCCGACGUUCUGUUACUGAUCUGUGAUAGGUUUCGUUUACAAUACAGCCGUAGUGUAAGCCGAAAAGGUCCCGCGUUCGACCCGCGGUAUGGGUG
rnacentral:tRNA from 1 species